rnacentral:rRNA from 1 species
UGGGGAAUAUUGCACAAUGGGCGCAAGCCUGAUGCAGCCAUGCCGUGUGUAUGAAGAAGGCCUUCGGGUUGUAAAGUACUUUCAGUCGGGAGGAAGGUGUCAAGGUUAAUAACCUUGGCAAUUGACGUUACCGACAGAAGAAGCACCGGCUAACUCCGUGCCAGCAGCCGCGGUAAUACGGAGGGUGCAAGCGUUAAUCGGAAUUACUGGGCGUAAAGCGCACGCAGGCGGUUGAUUGAGUCAGAUGUGAAAUCCCCGGGCUUAACCCGGGAAUUGCAUCUGAUACUGGUCAGCUAGAGUCUUGUAGAGGGGGGUAGAAUUCCAUGUGUAGCGGUGAAAUGCGUAGAGAUGUGGAGGAAUACCGGUGGCGAAGGCGGCCCCCUGGACAAAGACUGACGCUCAGGUGCGAAAGCGUGGGGAGCAAACAGG